rnacentral:rRNA from 1 species
GCGUGGGAAUAUACCCUUUGGUACGGAAUAGCCUCUGGAAACGGAGAGUAAUACCGUAUGAGCCCUUCGGGGGAAAGAUUUAUCGCCAAAGGAUUAGCCCGCGUUAGAUUAGGUAGUUGGUGGGGUAAUGGCCUACCAAGCCUACGAUCUAUAGCUGGUUUUAGAGGAUGAUCAGCAACACUGGGACUGAGACACGGCCCAGACUCCUACGGGAGGCAGCAGUGGGGAAUCUUGGACAAUGGGGGCAACCCUGAUCCAGCCAUGCCGCGUGAGUGAUGAAGGCCUUAGGGUCGUAAAGCU